rnacentral:rRNA from 1 species
GACGAACGCUGGCGGCGUGCUUAACACAUGCAAGUCGAGCGGAAAGGCCACUUCGGUGGUCCUCGAGCGGCGAACGGGUGAGUAACACGUGAGUAAUCUGCCCCUCACUUUGGGAUAGCCACCGGAAACGGUGAUUAAUACCGGAUAUGACCAUAUGUCGCAUGGCGUGUGGUGGAAAGUUUUUCGGUGGGGGAUGUGCUCGCGGCCUAUCAGCUUGAUGGUGAGGUAAUGGCUCACCAUGGCUUCGACGGGUAGCCGGCCUGAGAGGGUGACCGGUCACACUGGGACUGAGACACGGCCCAGACUCCUACGGGAGGCAGCAGUGGGGAAUAUUGGACAAUGGGCGGAAGCCUGAUCCAGCAACGCCGCGUGAGGGAUGACGGCCUUCGGGUUGUAAACCUCUUUCAGUACCGACGAAGCGCAAGUGACGGUAGGUACAGAAGAAGCACCGGCCAACUACGUG